rnacentral:lncRNA from 1 species
AACAACACACAUAACAUAAAACGUUUUCACCAAAAAAAAAAACUCCAACACACCAUAACUUACUCUCAUCACCAUCAUCCAAGAUAAUACACAACCAUUUUUUCACUCUUCUUUCUCCAGACAACCGAACUCUCUACAAUAAAAACAAACUUCAUAACUCUUCAUCUCUUCUCCCUCUUUCCCACAUAAACCAACAUCAUCACCAAACACUUUUCUUCUUCAAACUCCCUCCUUCCCACACAAACCAACAUCAUCAUCAAACAUUUUUCUUCUCCACUCUUCAUCACUCACCAUAACUUACAUAUUCUUUAUACACUCCAUUAACACAACAACC